rnacentral:rRNA from 1 species
GACGAACGCUGGCGGCGCGCUUAACACAUGCAAGUCGAGCGAGAUCCAGGCCUUCGGGCCUGGGGACAGCGGCGAACGGGCGAGUAACACGUGGGUAAUCAACCCUCGACACUGGGAUAGCCCGGGGAAACCCGGAUUAAUACCGGAUGGCCCUUUGGCUCCUCGGAUCUGACGGGAAAGGUAGCUUCGGCCUCCGGUCGGGGACGUGCCAGCGGCGGAUUAGCUUGUUGGUGAGGUAACGGCUCACCAACGCGACGAUCCGUAGCGGGUCUGAGAGGACGAUCAGCCACACUGGGACUGAGACACGGCCCAGACUCCUACGGGAGGCAGCAGUGGGGAAUCUUGCGCUAAUGCGGGAAACCGUGACGCAGCGACGCCGCGUGAGGGAAGAAGGCCUUCGGGUUGUAAACCUCUUUCAGGAGGGACGAAGCCACUCGGGUGAAUAGCCCAGAGGGUGACGGUACCUCCAGAAGAAGCCCCGGCUAACUACGUGCCAGCCGCCGCAGUAA